UGGAAAUAAAGCUGAAAAUGAAACUAGAAGAAAAAGUAACUGGGUUUUUUUGGGCUGUUUUUUUCCAUCUUUUAUGCAUCUAAAGACUUGAAAAAAUGAUGAAGAAAUCCACAUUUCCUGCAUUCCCUAUUGAUGUUACCUUUCCAUGCUGAUAACCCAUCUUAAAAACUAUGCUGUCUGCUGAAAAGAGUGCUUCUUAUUUUUAACUCUGUUAUCACAAUUGAGCAAAUCAUUGUUUUUUUUGUUGCUGUAUGAUUUGAAGCUUUCAUCGAAUUAAACUGAGUCUUGAAAUAAAUAUUUUGUUGGUAUGAGCAUA